GGUACCGCCUGCCCUGUGACUAAAAGUUUAACGGCCGCGGUAUUUUGACCGUGCAAAGGUAGCGCAAUCACUUGCCUUUUAAAUGAGGGCCUGUAUGAAUGGCAUAACGAGGGCUUAACUGUCUCCUCUCCCUAGUCAAUGAAAUUGAUCUCCCCGUGCAGAAGCGGGGAUAAAAACAUAAGACGAGAAGACCCUGUGGAGCUUUAGACCAUAAAUAGACCAUGUCAAGGACAACAACAAAUUACUCAAACAAAUUGGCUACUGUUUUUAUGUCUUUGGUUGGGGCGACCGCGGGAAAAUAAGAAUCUCCCAUGAGGAUAGAGAAAACCCUAUUCUUAUAGCCAAGAGCUUCCCCUCUAAGUAACAGAACAUCUGACCUUUAUGAUCCGGCCUGGCCGAUCAACGGACCGAGUUACCCCAGGGAUAACAGCGCAAUCCUCUUUUAGAGUCCAUAUCGACAAGGGGGUUUACGACCUCGAUGUUGGAUCAGGACAUCCUAAUGGUGCAGCCGCUAUUAAGGGUUUGUUUGUUCAACAAUUAAAGUCCUACGUGAUCUGAGUUCAGACCGGAGUAAUCCAGGUCAGUUUCUAUCUAUGACAUACUCCCUUCUAGUACGAAAGGACCGAAGAGAGGGGGCCCAUGAACCACUACGCCUCAAUCUCACCUUAUGAAGAAAACUAAAUAAGACAAGAGAAUAUAUCUUGAGUCAUAGAAAAUGACAUGUUAAGGUGGCAGAGCCCGGAUAUUGCAAAAGACCUAAGCCCUUUCCACAGAGGUUCAACUCCUCUCCUUA
rnacentral:ncRNA from 1 species